AGGAGGAGCCGCGGUCGCAGCCGCUCGUUUCUGCCACGUCCCUCCCGGGCGAAGGCGAAGCCUGGCGGGCAGCGGCCGGGAAGCGCCAGCACGUGCGCGCCGCAUGAAUGUCUGUUUGUUGGUGGUGUGAGCCAGUGUUUUGGACAAAGCAAGGCUUUAGAAAAAGGAUUAUAGAAAGAGAAUCACCAACCAAAGGUUUUUAUACCGGACCCAAUCCAAGGCCAAAAGAGACGAGGUCGACCGGAAGAAACAUCUCUUGGUUGCCCCUUUUGACACCUCUUUGGUUAGAUUUCCUUGAGGAGAGGUCCAGGAAGGAAGGAGAAUGAGACAGCUGAAAGGGAAGCCCAAAAAAGAGACAUCCAAAGACAAAAAGGAGAGAAAGCAAGCCAUGCACGAAGCCCGUCAGCAAGUCACAACGGUGGUGCUUCCCACCUUGGCUGUGGUGGUGCUUUUGAUUGUGGUGUUCGUUUACGUGGCUACCCGCCCCAAUACAACUGAAUGACAUGGAUUUUGAACUCUGCCCCUUGGGUGGGCAUGCCAAGGCCCAACAACUAAUCAAAGCCCCCCCUUCCCCAAAAGAUCCGUUUUUAAUCACUGUUACUAACAAUCCUUUUACAAAGGAAUCCUCUUUCUCUGACUUGAUUGACAGUCCACAGUUGCUCUGGUGGGAGGUAACAUAGAACAUACUUGAUUCCAGGGACCCAAAGUAUGUUUUAUCGUCUAGCAUAAUGUGCCUUUUUAGACCUCAACGGUCUCUUGCUCGCUCCUUAAAAAGUAGAUUCUGUUGCUUUUGGAAAUUUGUAUAAAUCGGCUUUGAGUUUGUCAGCAGCAUUGCUCCUGUCAAGGUCCUGUAUUGUUGGCUUCACGGCUGCCAAAAGAAGUGGAUUUUUCCCCUUCCGUUGUAAUUAUAUAAUGGCAUUUGAAAAACCUUUGAUUAAAAAAAGUAUUUAUUUUUGGAAUAAAGAGAACCACGUCU